GAGAGUAUUGCUCAGUGACAGAGUGCAUGCCUCGCAAGCACAGGGUCCUGGGUUCCAUCCCCAGUACCUCCA
rnacentral:tRNA from 1 species